CGGUUAAGUUAGAAAGGGCGCACGGUGGAUGCCUUGGCACUAGGAGCCGAUGAAGGACGGACGAACACCGAUAUGCUUCGGGGAGCUGUAAGCAAGCUUUGAUCCGGAGAUUUCCGAAUGGGGAAACCCACCACUCGUAAUGGAGUGGUAUCCAUAUCUGAAUACAUAGGAUAUGAGAAGGCAGACCCGGGGAACUGAAACAUCUAAGUACCCGGAGGAAGAGAAAGCAAAUGCGAUUCCCUGAGUAGCGGCGAGCGAAACGGGACCAGCCCAAACCAAGAGGCUUGCCUCUUGGGGUUGUAGGACACUCUGUACGGAGUUACAAAGGAACGAGGUAGAUGAAGAGGUCUGGAAAGGCCCGCCAUAGAAGGUAACAGCCCUGUAGUCAAAACUUCGUUCUCUCCUGAGUGGAUCCUGAGUACGGCGGAACACGUGAAAUUCCGUCGGAAUCCGGGAGGACCAUCUCCCAAGGCUAAAUACUCCUAGUGACCGAUAGUGAACCAGUACCGUGAGGGAAAGGUGAAAAGCACCCCGGAAGGGGAGUGAAAGAGAUCCUGAAACCGUGUGCCUACAAGUAGUCAGAGCCCGUUAACGGGUGAUGGCGUGCCUUUUGUAGAAUGAACCGGCGAGUUACGAUCCCGUGCAAGGUUAAGCAGAAGAUGCGGAGCCGCAGCGAAAGCGAGUCUGAAUAGGGCGAAUUGAGUACGUGGUCGUAGACCCGAAACCAGGUGAUCUACCCAUGUCCAGGGUGAAGUUCAGGUAACACUGAAUGGAGGCCCGAACCCACGCACGUUGAAAAGUGCGGGGAUGAGGUGUGGGUAGGGGUGAAAUGCCAAUCGAACCUGGAGAUAGCUGGUUCUCUCCGAAAUAGCUUUAGGGCUAGCCUCAAGGUAAGAGUCUCGGAGGUAGAGCACUGAUUGGACUAGGGGCCCCUACCGGGUUACCGAAUUCAGUCAAACUCCGAAUGCCGAUGACUUAUCCUUGGGAGUCAGACUGCGAGUGAUAAGAUCCGUAGUCGAAAGGGAAACAGCCCAGACCGCCAGCUAAGGUCCCAAAGUAUACGUUAAGUGGAAAAGGAUGUGGAGUUGCUUAGACAACCAGGAUGUUGGCUUAGAAGCAGCCACCAUUUAAAGAGUGCGUAAUAGCUCACUGGUCGAGUGACUCUGCGCCGAAAAUGUACCGGGGCUAAACGUAUCACCGAAGCUGCGGACUGUUCUUCGAACAGUGGUAGGAGAGCGUUCUAAGGGCUGUGAAGCAAGACCGGAAGGACUUGUGGAGCGCUUAGAAGUGAGAAUGCCGGUAUGAGUAGCGAAAGAGGGUGAGAAUCCUCCACCGAAUGCCUAAGGUUUCCUGAGGAAGGCUCGUCCGCUCAGGGUUAGUCGGGACCUAAGCCGAGGCCGAAAGGCGUAGGCGAUGGAUAACAGGUUGAUAUUCCUGUACCACCUCCUCACCAUUUGAGCAAUGGGGGGACGCAGGAGGAUAGGGUAAGCGCGGUAUUGGAUAUCCGCGUCCAAGCAGUUAGGCUGGGAAAUAGGCAAAUCCGUUUCCCGUGAAGGCUGAGCUGUGAUGGCGAGCGAAUUAUAGUAGCGAAGUUCCUGAUUCCACACUGCCAAGAAAAGCCUCUAGCGAGGUGAGAGGUGCCCGUACCGCAAACCGACACAGGUAGGCGAGGAGAGAAUCCUAAGGUGAUCGAGAGAACUCUCGUUAAGGAACUCGGCAAAAUGACCCCGUAACUUCGGGAGAAGGGGUGCUCUGUUAGGGUGCAAGCCCGAGAGAGCCGCAGUGAAUAGGCCCAGGCGACUGUUUAGCAAAAACACAGGUCUCUGCGAAGCCGUAAGGCGAAGUAUAGGGGCUGACGCCUGCCCGGUGCUGGAAGGUUAAGAGGAGCGCUUAGCGUAAGCGAAGGUGCGAAUUGAAGCCCCAGUAAACGGCGGCCGUAACUAUAACGGUCCUAAGGUAGCGAAAUUCCUUGUCGGGUAAGUUCCGACCCGCACGAAAGGCGCAACGAUCUGGGCACUGUCUCAACGAGAGACUCGGUGAAAUUAUAGUACCUGUGAAGAUGCAGGUUACCCGCGACAGGACGGAAAGACCCGUGGAGCUUUACUGCGACCUGAUAUUGAAUGUUGGUACAGCUUGUACAGGAUAGGUAGGAGCCUUGGAAACCGGAGCGCCAGCUUCGGUGGAGGCAUCGGUGGGAUACUACCCUGGCUGUAUUGACCUUCUAACCCGCCGCCCUUAUCGGGCGGGGAGACAGUGUCAGGUGGGCAGUUUGACUGGGGCGGUCGCCUCCUAAAAGGUAACGGAGGCGCCCAAAGGUUCCCUCAGAAUGGUUGGAAAUCAUUCGCAGAGUGUAAAGGCACAAGGGAGCUUGACUGCGAGACCUACAAGUCGAGCAGGGACGAAAGUCGGGCUUAGUGAUCCGGUGGUUCCGCAUGGAAGGGCCAUCGCUCAACGGAUAAAAGCUACCCCGGGGAUAACAGGCUUAUCUCCCCCAAGAGUCCACAUCGACGGGGAGGUUUGGCACCUCGAUGUCGGCUCAUCGCAUCCUGGGGCUGUAGUCGGUCCCAAGGGUUGGGCUGUUCGCCCAUUAAAGCGGUACGCGAGCUGGGUUCAGAACGUCGUGAGACAGUUCGGUCCCUAUCCGUCGCGGGCGCAGGAAAUUUGAGAGGAGCUGUCCUUAGUACGAGAGGACCGGGAUGGACGCACCGCUGGUGUACCAGUUGUUCUGCCAAGGGCAUCGCUGGGUAGCUAUGUGCGGACGGGAUAAGUGCUGAAAGCAUCUAAGCAUGAAGCCCCCCUCAAGAUGAGAUUUCCCAUUCCGCAAGGAAGUAAGAUCCCUGAAAGAUGAUCAGGUUGAUAGGUCUGAGGUGGAAGUGUGGCGACACAUGGAGCUGACAGAUACUAAUCGAUCGAGGACUUAACCAAUUU
rnacentral:rRNA from 1 species